AAUUGAAAAAAUAUUCCCAAUUUCUGGCAGGUUCCCCCCCUUCAUCGUAUGAUGAUGUGAGAGGAAAAUUCACUUACAGUCUUUGGUAAUCAAGUCUUCCCGGCUCACAGAUGGAGACUACGGGAGGCAGCUCAUCCCAGAAGAGAUCUUUUCAGAUGAAAGGAAAGCCAAACUGAAGGCAUUUUUCCAAGAGGAAUACUCAACUGCAGAGAAAAUUUUCAUUAGCAAAGUUCUUCAAAAACACUUGCAAAAGUGGAGGAAGAGAAUGAGCCAUGUACAGAUUGAUCACCAUUUCCCAGAAUGAGGGGGAGGAAUUGCUGUGUAAAUAACAACUGACACUGUUGAAAAGGUGGGCUAUUUCUUACAACAGAAAAAGGAGAUCCAGACAACAUACUCUUCACAGAAGACACUGAAAAAAAAGAUGCUAGAAAUUACAUACACAUUGGACAGUAUCCAGGUUUCAGGGCCAAAGUUUCACUUACUUUAAGAAAGC